CCUACGGGUGGCAGCAGUGAGGAAUAUUGGUCAAUGGGCGAGAGCCUGAACCAGCCAAGUCGCGUGAAGGAUGAAGGAUCUAUGGUUUGUAAACUUCUUUUAUAAGGGAAUAAAGUGAGGAACGUGUUCCUUUUUGUAUGUACUAUAUGAAUAAGGAUCGGCUAACUCCGUGCCAGCAGCCGCGGUAAUACGGAGGAUGCGAGCGUUAUCCGGAUUUAUUGGGUUUAAAGGGAGCGUAGGUGGUUAGUUAAGUCAGUGGUGAAAGUUUGUGGCUCAACCGUAAAAUUGCCGUUGAUACUGGUUGUCUUGAGUAUAUUUGAGGUAGGCGGAAUUCGUGGUGUAGCGGUGAAAUGCUUAGAUAUCACGCAGAACUCCGAUUGCGAAGGCAGCUUACUAAACUAUAACUGACACUGAUGCACGAAAGCGUGGGUAUCAAACAGGAUUAGAUACCCCUGUAGUC
rnacentral:rRNA from 1 species